GUCUAAAACCAGUUACACUGGGCUGAAAACCAAUGUGUUGGCAGGCCACACUCCCUCUGGAGGCUCUAGGGGAGACUCGCUCCUUGUCUCUUCCAGCUCCUGGUGGCUGCCUGUGACAUAUAACCACCGAUGCUUUUGCAUCAUUGGAGGAAGUCGUCACGGACGUGACCCCUGGUUGCCCCUUGACCUGACCCGGGGUAUCCGAGGCUCCUCCCUGUUCGUGGAACAUCCGGCCCACUUGCCGUUCGGCUGUGGGAGCCGUUCAAGGACGGAGUCUCGAGAAAGGUGCUGUUGAGACCGUCUGGACGGCGCGCUGAAUGCAGAUGGCAGGGAUUUGGUGACGCUCAGGACGGGCGCAGAGAUGCACUGGUCCUGUGGCCACCCAAGACAAGCCUCGUAGAGAGACAGAGCAUGAGCAGGGGUGGGGCAGAGAGAGAGGGAGACACAGAAUCUGAAGCAG